rnacentral:rRNA from 1 species
AACGUAGGAGGCGAGCGUUAUCCGGAUUCACUGGGCGUAAAGCGCGCGUAGGCGGUUAGGCAAGUCGGAUGUUAAAGCCCCUGGCUCAACUGGGGGAGGUCAUUCGAUACUGCUUGGCUUGAGGGUGAGAGAGGAAAGUGGAAUUCCCGGUGUAGCGGUGGAAUGCGUAGAGAUCGGGAGGAACACCAGUGGCGAAGGCGGCUUUCUGGCUCACUUCUGACGCUGAGAGCGCGAAAGCGUGGGGA